UACAGAGGUGGCAAGCGUUGUUCGGAAUUACUGGGCGUAAAGGGCGCGUAGGUGGCCUUUUGAGUCAGACGUGAAAUCCCCCGGCUCAACCGGGGAACUGCGUCUGAUACUGGGUGGCUUGAAUUCGGGAGAGGGAUGCGGAAUUCCAGGUGUAGCGGUGAAAUGCGUAGAUAUCUGGAGGAACACCGGUGGCGAAGGCGGCAUCCUGGACCGAGAUUGACGCUGAGGCGCGAAAGCCAGGGGAGCAAACGGG
rnacentral:rRNA from 1 species